GUAUAUAUAAUUUAAAUAAAAUAUUAAACUGUGACUUUAAUUAUGAGAGUUA
rnacentral:tRNA from 1 species